UACAGUAUUUGCUGCUAUCUGACUGGUCAUCAUGUUCUGGUGUAAAAAUCUUGUUUUGUUUCUACAGCUCUCUCUCUGAUAAAACGCACAGACGUCAACGAGACUGUUUGUGUGUCCUAUCAGCAAGUCUUUUUGGAGGACCUGUGAGUAUAACGCUGUCCUGUCCUUGAGCUGCACACUCCCUCACUCUCUCCAUCUGUUUUGACUCCCGCUCUCAUAAACUCUCACAUAUUCUUUUGCUCCUUCUUACCACAGUGUCUGACUCUCUUACUCUCAGCUUUUUUACACACUCAAACACAUACAUGUGUACACACAUAAACACAAACACACAGCAACAGACCAGGCUUUGUCCGUGUUACCUGAGCUGAACUCCCACAUUGGGAGCAACAGAAAUGACUGGGCUGAAUGGGCCUCAUUGUCACGCUGACUGGCAUUUGCCCCUCGGAUUGAUUAGCAUGGAUCAGAGGAGCCACGGACCCCAGUAAGCCAAACUUCUGUCGCUGUUGAUGCUGGGUUUUUUUUUUUUCAAAGUAGUGUCUAGAGUUACAAUUACAAAGGUUUACUGUUGGUACAGCGGUGGAUCUGAUGUCAGGAGUGAUGAGAGAUUUCUAAAAUCAUCAGAAAAACUUUUGCAUAAACAGAGUGGACCCGCAUGCAGCUGCUGCUGCUGGACAAGGCUCAUUUUCUAUGAAGUCAGAGGAAAAAGUUUGAUCACAAACGGAGUAAAACUGAAUUUUAAUGAAAAAAAUUGAAAUUUGGUCAAUUUUGAUUGCUUUACUGCAUAUACUUUCUAGGCAUUUAGCCAAUGCUCCCUAACCAGUGUGACUUAAAGGGUCAGUUCACCCAAAUUAUAAAAACAUGCAGAUAGGCUUGGUUUUAUUUUGUCCAGGUUUUAAGAUGUCCACUUCUGAGAUCCCUGUAUCCACCCUGACACAAUGGAGUGUGUAGGCCUUGAAAUGGAGCCAAGCCAGUCUGGUCCAGGUGGGGACAGAGCUGACUUGAGGAUCGGGGCGAGGAAAAGCACUGGGGGUUCUAUGACGAAGGGGUUUGCGUGCAACGAAGGAUCAGUGUCUCCAGUAACAUAUGAAGACCAGCUGAGACAAACCUCAAAUGACCUCAAACAGCAUGCCUCCGUAUGAUGGUGACCCUUCCCUCUAAGUGGACAAGUGGACCCAAACCAUGGCAGCAAAAUGCCCCCUACAGCAUAAUAGAGCCACCAGAUCCCCUCACUGUAGGGGUCAAGCAUUCAGAGACGCUUCUGCUCAGUAAGCCCCUUGAAGAAGAGGACUGUUUGCACUUGACACCAGAUGUGAAUGGAUUGUUUUCCUGCGUUUGAAUGACAUCAUCACUUACAUCGUGGGAUAACUGAGGAUGACAUAAUUGGCUGGAACCAUGGACGACUGCAGACAGACCGACAAACAGUCCAAAAUUUGGUUUACUUUCACAAGGGUGAGAAAAAUGGAAGUCUACUGAAAGAAAAAGUGUAGUGAAAAUGUAUUUUUUGCAGGUAGGUAGCUAACAAAUCAAACACAAUGAAGUGUAAAAUAAGGCGGCUCAAAUACCCCAAAAUCACAACUACUUUUAUCAGGAAUCUGAUUAAUUUAGUAAUCAUAAUGUUCAUUCAUAAGUUUUGGUGCAGACUUCUAGUUUUAUGUGGUGCCCAUACUUAAACAACAACAGUUUUUCUCUGACAAAAAGCUUAACUCGUUGGCUUGCAGCGCAGGUACAAACAAAGGCAGGAAGUUGAAUGUAAUCAAUAACUGUUCCAAGAUCUGGUUUAUAUAAAAGUCUUGACCUGAACUGAUACUUGUGGUCUUUGGGUUUCUUGUUGGCCUUGAGCUCAGUCGACGAAUCUCAUUAAGAGGACACAGAGAAACUGUUGGAAGGUCUGUUUACAAGCUGGAAAACGUAUGGACCUGCCAUUUCAGGUCCAAGACAAUUUUGGAAAA